rnacentral:rRNA from 1 species
UACGUAGGGGGCUAGCGUUGUCCGGAAUUAUUGGGCGUAAAGAGCGUGUAGGCGGCCAGGUAGGUCUGGUGUGAAAACUCGAGGCUUAACCUCGAGAUGUCAUCGGAAACCAUCUGGCUAGAGUCCGGAAGAGGAGAGUGGAAUUCCUGGUGUAGCGGUGAAAUGCGCAGAUAUCAGGAAGAACACCGAUGGCGAAAGCAGCUCGCUGGGACGGUACUGACGCUGAGACGCGAAAGCGUGGGGAGCGAACAGG